rnacentral:rRNA from 1 species
AUGCAGUACGAGGUGCGCUAUGUGGCCAUCUCGACAUACCAUCACGACUAUCUUGGUGUGAAGAUGACCAAGGAAGACGCGCGGAGGAUGGGCAUUACCUUGGAGAGGGACGAGUUCUUGAAGGUGUUACCAAAUUGGUGUUAUGGAAAAGACGAGCCCUGGGCGGCAUUGGUGGAUCUUUGGUGUGAUGAGGCUGGAGCCUGGGCGGCUAUGAGAGUCAAAAACAAGGCUAACCGAGGGAAGGAGGGAGUACAUGCUCAGGGAAACCGAAACCACUAUCUCCACAAGGCAGUUAAUGAGGAGAAACUGAAGCGGCCGCUCUCACACAUGCAGGCGUGGGAGAUCGCCCAUACGCGGAAGGACCCCAAGCCUGGCGAGCCCAAGUACUACGGCAAGAAGACCGCGCAUAGGAAGAAGGCCUACUCCGAUGGGUAUCUGGCGUUACAUCCUGACACACCUGACCCCAUUGCGGCGGAUCUGGACGAAAGGGUGGUGGUGGGCAUGGGGCCGAAGGAGCACGGUCGGGAGGCGGUUCUCGAUGCUGUGAUCUCUCCUACUAUCUCCUACACACAGCUCCGUCGGAUCGACCCGACCCUGAGCCAGCGCACGAGCACGCCCAUGAGCAGUGCACCGUCACUGUCCCUCUUUCAGGAGCAGCAAACUGUAAGCCUACAUGGAGUACACACGCCAGGAGACCAUGGCGUGGCACGAUCGCCUUCAUGCAUACCAUCAGCAGAGGGAUCGCCAGAUGCAGCACGCUUUUCAGGAAAUGGCGGCCGGCAGGUGUCCUCAAUGGCCAUCAGCAGAGGGUCCUCCGGCACAACCAACGUUGCUGACAUUUGA